UUAGCUAACCUUUCGACACGUACUGCGGCAGGCAGUACGACUUAACGCGUUAGCUCCGGCAAGCCACGCCUCAAGGGCACAACCUCCAAGUCGACAUCGUUUACGGCGUGGACUAUCAGGGUAUCUAAUCCUGUUUGCUCCCCACGCUUUCGCACCUGAGCGUCAGUCUUUGUCCAGGGGGCCGCCUUCGCCACCGGUAUUCCUCCAGAUCUCUACGCAUUUCACCGCUACACCUGGAAUUCUACCCCCCUCUACAAGACUCUAGUCUGCCAGUUUCGAAUGCAGUUCCCAGGUUGAGCCCGGGGAUUUCACAUCCGACUUGACAGACCGCCUGCGUGCGCUUUACGCCCAGUAAUUCCGAUUAACGCUUGCAUCUUUCUCCGUAUUACCGCGGCUGCUGGCACGGAGUUAGCCGGUGCUUCUUCUGCGGGUAACGUCAAUCAGCGAAGCUAGUUAACCUCACUGCCUUCCUCCCCACUAGAAAGUACUU
rnacentral:rRNA from 1 species